AGUGAAGCGGGAUGAGCUCAAAUUUAAAAUCUGGCCGGUUUACUGGUCCGAAUUGUAGUUUAAAGAAGCGUUUUCGGUGGCAGCCUGGGUAUAAAUCCUUUGGAAUAGGGUAUCAUAGAGGGUGAGAAUCCCGUCUUUGACUCAGUGCAUGCUACUAUGUGAUACGUUUUCAAAGAGUCGAGUUGUUUGGGAAUGCAGCUCAAAAUGGGUGGUAAAUCUCAUCUAAGGCUAAAUAUUGGCGAGAGACCGAUAGCGAACAAGUACCGUGAGGGAAAGAUGAAAAGAACUUUGAAAAGAGAGUUAAACAGUGCGUGAAAUUGUUGAAAGGGAAACGUUUGACACCAGUCAUGCGGGUGGAAAAUCAGUCUCUUGUAGUGGGGAAGCAUUUUGGUUCAGACCGCAAGGCUGGCCAAGGUGUUCUCUCUAUUGCGAGUGAUGCACUUUUUCAUUUGCAGGCCAACAUCAGUUUCUUCUGCUGGACAAAACCCUAAGAGAAGGUAGCAGCUUAGGCUGUGUUAUAGCUCUGGGGCGAUACAGUGGAGGGGACUGAGGUUUUCGCAGCGUGUGCUCUCGGGCAAGGCAGAUUGGGUGCUAUGGGAUCGUUCGGCGUACAAUGCAUGCAUUUUGCGCUGUGUCUUUUUCAUACUCGCUUAACUCUGCUCUUCCACGCUUAGGAUGUUGGCAUAAUGGUUUUAAACGACC
rnacentral:rRNA from 1 species